UACCACAGCAAGGGGGAAGGAAGGAGUACAGUGCCACAGGACAGCCAGUCUCUGACAAGGAACCUCAUCUAAGGAGCAUGAACCUCUCUAUCCCAUUCUACUUGGAAAGUCCAGGAGUAGAUUGGGCUUCCAAUUCUGACUUUUGGGCUGAAACUGAGCAAAACCCCAACAGCUGUAAGGAAUGAGGGGCUCCCGUUCUACUCAAACAAGGACACAGUUUUCUCAAGGAAGACAAAACAUUUGGAGAUGCCGCAAAUGAACCUCAUCCCAAGGUUUACAGCCACCUUCGCUGAUAAGAGCACUUCCGGAGACACUACCCACUGGCACACCCUGGGACAACAGUCUGUCCUGAAGGAAUGUGCUUGCUGUUGUGGCUUUUGAGACAUCAUCAGCCUGUGAGGAGGAAAAGACAUCCAAACCUAUAAGCCUCCGGGGCUUUGCUCCAGAGUCUGAUUAGCCGGAGCCCUGUGUGCACUCGCUGGGAAGGGUGUCUGGGGUCAGGGCAUCUGAGUCCCAGCAAGCUUAUACUGAGGGGUGGGGCAGGCAGGACUUACUGGCCUAAAAGAAGAGAAGCUAUACGUGUGACAUAACAGUUCAUCCUAGGAAAUGACAGGGCAGCUGGUACAUGACUAUAUAAACAUAUAGCCCAGAACCCCCCAAAUUCUUCCAGACAGCCCGGUUAAAAUAAACUAAAACGCAACUAUCCUAGAAAUCAUCUCAAGAAUUUGUGCCUAAAGAAACAGCAGGUGGCAGCAAAGCUUUACAUUUUUUAGCCAUUGGUCUGGAAUGAAAACAAAGUGUCACGGAAUAAUCCCCUCACCCUCUGAGUCAGCCAGCUGGCCCAGAAACUGGCACACUGCCAUCUUUCAAUCUGCAAAGUAUAGAGUCUUCUCGGCUGGACUCUGUGCGUUUUGACAAGAGGACCCAGGAAAAAAGUUCUCCUCUCCCUACCCCCAAGCCAGAGGCCUGCCUAGUUCUGCAGGCUGGGCAGGAAAGAGACUACCACAGGCUGGCAGAUCACAAAGACUGUGGCCUUGAGUCUCAGAGUCCUUUUCCCAAUAUCAAGGUGCUGCUCAUUUGCAAUGAGAAGAGUCGCAAAGGAACCUGAGUAUGAUUAAGGGGAAGCAGGUCUAAGAACUAAGGAUACACCUCACAACAUGUUCCCCAUUUAUUGUGAUGGAAUCCAUGGCAGAAAUGUGGUGGCAGAGAGAGAUGGGGGGCAGGGAAGUGAAGCUAAUAUAUCUGGUUUCUGGUGCACCUAGACUUUUAGAGACCUCUGAAAGCUACUUCACCACCCCACAGCUGUUGUAACUCUUGGACAGUGCCAAGACCACUGUCUGGUAUGGCCUCAAGUAUCUCCCUUGACUUAGUAUUGUGGUUGGCUCCCAACUUCCAAGUUGGGACUGGAAAAUUUCCAUUGCCACAGCGCAGCACUGGAGUUUAGAACCUAGCUUUUGGCAGAGGAAAUCCAGUUUUGUCGUUAAGAAGUGACUGGUCCGUUUAGUUUAACCUAAAAUGGUGCUUCAGAACUCUCUCAGGCACACUUUGGAUCAAACUACUUAAUUUCCUCCAAGGAGGAAACUCUCUUACUGAUUAAAGUAAGAGCAGGGCUGGGGAGGGGAAUGCUGGAGGAUUUGGCAUUGUUAUUAUUUUAAAAAGUAAAAGACUUGUUCAGGAAAAAGACAAAAUUAAAGACCUUGUUUCCAAGAUUGUAAACAGAUCAUACAAACAGGUGUAUUUAUGGGUUUUCUUUCUACAAGUGGAGUUGAAAGAAAAGUGAGUAGCUUUGGCCUUUUAUAAGUUAUAUAUUAAAUCCACAGCAACACAGCUCCUGAUGAUCAAAAAGAACAUUCCUGAAAGGUGUAGUAGAAGCUCAUUGAUUUAUGUGAUUAUUUUUCUUUUCUGAAAAUAUGAUUUUGUUCUGACAUCUUAAGAACAAACUUCCCAGGACUCUACAUAGAAAAGGUCCUUUAAAAUUAUCUAGUAAGGAAAACAUUCUGUAAUUCCUUUGAAUGCAAUAAACAAUAUCUUUUGAGGCAACUUGCAGCAUAUGUUCCAAAAUUCAUAUCAGCAUUUAAUUCCUCCUUUGUAUGUAUGUUCUACACUCGCCAGAAUGAGGUUAAAUCAUUUAAUGCAGAGAAUUGACAGCACCAGGAAAAUAUUUGGAUUGACUGUCUGGAGUUGCCAUUAUUGGCUUUAAUUAUGACCUACUGGCUCUUGGGUCCUGAAGCAGCCAGAAAAUGAGAUACGUGUGCCAAGAUAUUCAUUAGAAUUCCCUCCUCAGUCAUUGUUCAGAAAGAACAAGUUUCUUUCUGGCUCCCAUCUACAGUGUUUUAAGUGAAGUCAUUAAUAUGCCAGAUUUUUUAAAGGCUCAGUCAGUAAACAAGAUUAUGUGCAUACCUUGUAUUUUGCGUUAAAAUAAAAUCUUG